UGGGGUGUGGCUCAGUGGCAGAGGGCUUGCCUAUCAUGUGCAAGGCCCUGGGUUCUAUCCCCAGCACUGCAG
rnacentral:tRNA from 1 species